GUUUAACAACUGAUGAGUGGUACCUACUAUAGCUAGGCAAGGUAUCAUCUGCACAAUGGAGGUUUUACACCAUGACAAUCUUAUCUGUGUUGAAAAUCUUUUAACAUCUGUAUAAUAAUGUAAAAGUACAUAGUCAAACAUAUGAUGCUAGCAGAGCCUGAGGUUAUUGUGGUCAAGAAGCAAUACUUAUCAUAAGGACCCACAUAGGGUAGCAUGAAAAUGUUUUCAGCACAUAGAUGAACAAAAAAAGAAUGCUUGUCAGAACUUGAAAGAAACUGUGGUGAUUUGGGAACUGAGCUGUAGACAAUUAAAUGAUUUUUUAUUCAGUUUACAUAUUAGUUGGAAGUUGUGCAAUGAGUUAAGUUGUUUAUAGAUCAGCGAAGAACAUUAUAGAAGUUGUCUUCACCAGCUGGCAUGGUUUUGAAAAAAAAAUGAUUAACAGACAAAAAGAACAACAAUUAGCUAGAGAACUCAUGUUAUAAAUAUAAGCCAAGAAUUCGACAUGCUUGCACCUGUACAAUACAAUGGGUUGGUCAAGUAUGGCUCUUGACUAGAAAAAAAGAUAUCUUGCAUACUGUAUUAUUUUUAGUUGAUGAAUAGAGUUCUCUAUUGCCUGCAUGACCAUCAGACCAUAUGAUGUCUACCAUUUCUUUUAAAAAAAUUCCAGAAAUUUUCCUCUCCUGAGCCAUUUAAUCAGAUGGUUGGAGUUGUCAUAUUCAAAUAUAGAAAUAAGCAGUCAGAUAUACUAUAUACUGGGAUUUCCUGUUAACUAGCAAAAUAGAAGCACUUUAGCUGAUCUAACAUCAUGGGUCAGGUAUUUUGGGAUGGAGCUGAACUUGCAAUAGCAUUAGCAAAAUGAAAACCUUAGCAUGUUGAAUGAUAGCAGAUAAGAAACUUGUAUUUCUUGCAAUUGGCUCUAGAUGUUGAUAAGAAAUGCCCAUGUGCAAUAUCUUGAAAGCUUGGAUUUGAAUCCAGAAAGCUUAGGUUGAUCUUAUGUUCUUACCCCUGUUUUUUUCCUAAUCAGCAUGUUUAUUACCUUAGUACCCUAGCCACUGCCAAAAGUUUUUACCUUGAUCCACUAUUGGCAGCUACCAUUGAAAUUUCUAAAACCUAUACACAUAUUUGUUUUAGAAUUUAAGCUUGUGCAAGAGUAUAUGUUUAUGUCACUGAAGUAUGAGCUAUUGCAAUAAUUAUUUCUUCAUAUGACAGGGUAAGGCUAAAGAUGAAAAGAAUCAAUGACUAGGACAAUGGGAAAAUGUGAACUCAUGCCAUCUUUGCAAAGUAGAAAAGCUCUUUUUUGAGCCUCCACCUACUUUGAGCCAACAACAGUGUGCUAUGAAACAUAUUGGCCUAAAUAAUCUGUAAAUCGGAAUUUGAACAUGGGACCAUUGUAGACCUAGGCAUACAUUCUCUAAUUCAUAAGUGGUCGAUUAUACAAUAGUAGAAAAACUACAAACACAUGUUUGUUUAGAGAGGCUGGCAUACCAAAAAAUGUCAGAGUCAUAAUGACUGGACCAAAUGUUGGUGAACACCAAUCAUAAAUUUAGAGAGGAUGGUGUAAGUUUGUUUUGGUUGCGCCAGUGCAGACCUUUUGGUCAAACCCUCAGGCUUGCAGCUCUAAAGAAGCCAUGUACUACUAAAUGUGGAUAUAUCACACUUCUUAGCAAAAACAAAGAAGCCAAUGUAAUAAACUAUUUUAGAUCUUCAAUCUUGACACUACAUGAGCAAUGUUCUAAAAUUUUUUUCUUCAUGCCAACCAGACGAUCAACCUGAAUUAUUAAUGUUUUUCUCUGAAGGCGUAGGAAUUAGAAGUUGAAAGAAGGAAAUGACAUUUACCUUAUGUAUUUGUGUCUUCCUACCUGCACCCAUGUGAAAGGAGUAUAUUUUUCUCAUGGUCUGCAACUCUGCAAUUAAGCUAUUAUUCAUAAGGUUACCUACAAAAAAUCAGAAUAAAAAUGAUUAGCAUAAAAAUUUCCAAAUUCUGACGAGGCAAAACCUGGUUGCAUAUUAUAAAUCCAAACAAAAGCCAUUAACCCAUCUAGAUCUUAACAUUCCUACCUUCUUCAUUUAGUACUGAAUGUUUACUCUCCUAGGGAAACAAAAGAUACAAAAUGGUUCUAUAAUCCACACAAACAUCCUACCUUCUAUCUAGAAACUGGUCAUGCAAACUGCUCUCCAUUUGUCCUAGAGAUGGAGCGAUGGUGCUAACUUGAUCCAGGAUCAUGGGCUUACUGCCAAACUCCACCAACGGUUUAGACACACUGAGCGACUGUAGUCGUAAGUGGAUGCCAAAGCUUCUAACAACAAUGAGGCCUUCAUGGCUGCAGCAAUCCUCCUCCAAAUCCAGCCCCCACCCUGUGGAAAAAUGCAGUAAACCCCAAGAAACAGUUAGAUCCUUGGAUCUGAUCUGAUCCAAAAACUUAGACCCCAGAGCAUACAAUUAGCAAUAAGGGAAUCAAUCCAUUAUUUCUGGUAUACAAUUUGUUCCCAUGAUAUGAAACCAGGUAUCAUUGCAUUAGCCUAAACCAGUAAACCACAAACUAUAAGUUGCAGGGGAGCCGCUCAAGUAGAAACCAAGAACCAGCUAUUAUAAUCUAAGUGUGCAGAGAUAACACACAUAGUCAGUAUGAAAACACAGAGCCAGGCAGAGAUGAUGAUUUUUUUUUUUCAUACAACAGAUACUUAUAAUAGCUAAUAAGCAUAGCGCACCUAGAUUCAUAGCAACAAAAUUACAGAAAAAUAUUUGUAAAUUGGAUAUGAAACAAACAUAAGGCUGGCACUAUAGCCAACCUUGUUUUUUAGUUCUCUUUACGCUGCUGUAGCGGAGGCAUUUUUCUUAGUAGCUACCAAGCAAUAAAGCUACCUGCAUCGCAACAAAGGAUCAGCCUUUUAGAAACCAUAUACAAGAUCUAAAAUCAAAGGGAACUGUAGAUACUCUCCAAAAAGGUAACAUAAAUCUAUGACCAAACCUAAGAAAAUUCUAGAUUGCUGAAAAUUACCCUACAGGAAGUGCCAACUAAUGAUCCUGUAAUUCUAUUUUUCGAACUUCAGCACAAAAUGGUAAGAAAGAUAAAAUACGAGCCUGUUUUAUAGCAACAUAAUAAUAAUACCUCAGUUCAAAAUAAACAUAUCAGCACAUGGGGAAAGAGGAAAACAAACACUAAGCUUGCAAUAUAGUUACAUAUAGUAUUAUUAUUUCAUUUGGGAACGAAGUUGGACUAAUUUGGAUACAUUGGGAAAUUUACUUUAUACCUACUAUUCCAUCUGGUUUUUGAUUUCUAGUUUAAUUUUAUUUGUAGCUAUGAUUGGAGCUAUAGUACUGACUAUGCAUAGCAACAGGUCCAAAGGCAUCUACAACUAGGAACUGAACCCAAGGGAAAUACCUACAAGCAGUCUUGGAGCAGGGACACUUGGAAAAUUGGAACUGGUCCUGCAAACCCAGAAGAUGCAACAAUAAAAAUGGCAUCAAUAUUCGUAAAUAGAAGUACAAUUACUAACUUUCGGUUGUAUGUAACAAGAUUUUGUAUGUAAGGAGUAAAGAAGAGGAAUGAAAUGAGGAAUGGACAUUACCAGCCACAAACAACAAGAAGAGGAGACAACAUAAUGAGUAAGAGGUCUUCAAACCUAAAACAUUCCAGUCCACUCUUUAUUCACAUUGGAAACAAACCUAAGUUUAGAUGAACUUUUGAAGCAAAAAAACAAUGACCUUUGCUAUAUUCCACCUGAGCGGGAAGAACAACAAUGCACAUAAUUGUACUCAAAAGUCAAAGAAAAAGGAGAACAAAAAUGAUCAUAGACAAGCAAAGUGUUUGAUAAUAUAAUCUUUAGAAAUAGGGGCCGGUGCUCAGAAACAACAGUUCGUAAUUUGACAUCAGAAGCAACGGACAAAGACAGUGAUCACAAGCCUAGAAUGAAGAAGAACAUAUUUACCACUUCAUAGACAGUAAGCACAAUCUUAGACUGCACAAUUAUGUGAUUAUUGACAUCAUAGACAAUUAUCAUAAGCACGUCUGACUGGAAAACCAAAGCCGAUGACCAAAGUAGAGAGUGGAGGAAAUCAUCAUAGGCAACACCAUCAGAAGCUAACUCCAAUGGCAAGCUAUCUGACCUAAUAAGCAAAGCGAGUAGGCAAUGAAUACUAUAUCUCACUAACUAGGAUCUACCAUGGCUACGGCCAAGGGGUGGCCAAACCCAGCGGCUUUGCACAAAGAGAUGCCCAAAAUAGAAUAAACAUUACUCAUGAUCAUUGCCUCAGCCAUGAAUAUAGCACAU
rnacentral:lncRNA from 1 species